rnacentral:rRNA from 1 species
AUCUACAGCCAUGUCACCCUGAACAAGCCCGACCUCAUCUGAUCUCAGAAGCUAAGCAGGGUCAGGCCUGGUUAGUACUUGGAUGGGAGACCACUUAGGAAGACCAGGUGCUGUAGGCA